UACCUGCGGACGGGAGACGGUCGCGGAC
rnacentral:sRNA from 1 species